GGCCUAAACCAGUAGCAAUACUGGCAUGGUAAAAAGUCCUUGGAAGAUAAAGAACCCAUCAUAGGGUCGUCUUCCAAGGCCAUAUCGGGAAACCGGUAUGAGAGGCUUCGAGCCUCU
rnacentral:sRNA from 1 species